AGGUGGUGCAUGGUUGUCGUCAGCUCGUGUCGUGAGAUGUUGGGUUAAGUCCCGCAACGAGCGCAACCCUCGUUCUAUGUUGCCAGCACGUAAUGGUGGGGACUCAUGGAAGACUGCCGGGGUCAACUCGGAGGAAGGUGGGGAUGACGUCAAAUCAUCAUGCCCCUUAUGUCUUGGGCUUCACGCAUGCUACAAUGGCCGGUACAAAGGGCUGCGAUACCGCAAGGUGGAGCGAAUCCCAAAAAACCGGUCUCAGUUCGGAUUGGGGUCUGCAACUCGACCCCAUGAAGUCGGAGUCGCUAGUAAUCGCAGAUCAGCAACGCUGCGGUGAAUACGUUCCCGGGCCUUGUACACACCGCCCGUCAAGUCACGAAAGUCGGUAACACCCGAAGCCGGUGGCCCAACCCUUGUGGGGGGAGCCGUCGAAGGUGGGACUGGCGAUUGGGACUU
rnacentral:rRNA from 1 species